GACGAACGCUGGCGGCGUGCUUAACACAUGCAAGUCGAACGGAAAGGCCCUGCUUUUGUGGGGUGCUCGAGUGGCGAACGGGUGAGUAACACGUGAGUAACCUGCCCUUGACUUUGGGAUAACUUCAGGAAACUGGGGCUAAUACCGGAUAGGAGCUCCUGCUGCAUGGUGGGGGUUGGAAAGGUUCGGCGGUUGGGGAUGGACUCGCGGCUUAUCAGCUUGUUGGUGGGGUAGUGGCUUACCAAGGCUUUGACGGGUAGCCGGACUGAGAGGGUGACCGGCCACAUUGGGACUGAGAUACGGCCCAGACUCCUACGGGAGGCAGCAGUGGGGAAUAUUGCACAAUGGGCGGAAGCCUGAUGCAGCAACGCCGCGUGCGGGAUGACGGCCUUCGGGUUGUAAACCGCUUUCGCCUGUGACGAAGCGUGAGUGACGGUAAUGGGUAAAGAAGCACCGGCUAACUACGUG
rnacentral:rRNA from 1 species